GAUGAACGCUGACAGAAUGCUUAACACAUGCAAGUCGAUUCGAUUUACCUUCGGGUAUUGAGGAUGGCGGACGGGUGAGUAACGCGUAAGGAACUUGCCUCUUGGUCUGGGACAACUGUUGGAAACGACAGCUAAUACCGGAUAUUAUGAGAUUCUCGCAUGGGAAACUUAUGAAAGCUAUAUGCGCCAAGAGAGAGCCUUGCGUUCCAUUAGCUAGUUGGUGGGGUAACGGCCCACCAAGGCGACGAUGGAUAGCCGGCCUGAGAGGGUGAACGGCCACAAGGGGACUGAGACACGGCCCUUACUCCUACGGGAGGCAGCAGUGGGGAAUAUUGGACAAUGGGCCACAAGCCUGAUCCAGCAAUUCUGUGUGCACGAUGAAGGUCUUCGGAUUGUAAAGUGCUUUCAGUUGGGAAGAAGAAAGUGACGGUACCAACAGAAGAAGCGACGGCUAAAUACGUGCCAGCAGCCGCGGUAAUACGUAUGUCGCAAGCGUUAUCCGGAUUUAUUGNGCGUAAAGCGCGUCUAGGCGGAAAAAUAAGUCUGAUGUUAAAAUGCGGGGCUCAACUCCGUAUUGCGUUGGAAACUGUUUUUCUAGAGUACUGGAGANGUGGGCGGAACUACAAGUGUAGAGGUGAAAUUCGUAGAUAUUUGUAGGAAUGCNNAUGGAGAANUCAGCUCACUGGNCAGAUACUGACGCUAAAGCGCGAAAGCGUGGGGAGCAAACAGGAUUAGAUACCCUGGNA
rnacentral:rRNA from 1 species